rnacentral:piRNA from 1 species
CAGGAAGAGUCUUAUUGUCCAGGU